CAGGAUGUAUAUCAGUUGGUAGAUUACCCACCUUGGAAGUGGGAGGCCGUUGGUUCAAGUCCAGCCAUCCUGA
rnacentral:tRNA from 1 species